rfam:Oryza sativa Japonica Group DNA, chromosome 5, cultivar: Nipponbare, complete sequence.
AAUAAGUGCAGCCAUGAGUUUCCGCACCCAACUUUAAUCGUCCGUCUUAUUUGAAAUUUUUUUAUGAUUAGUAUUUUUGUUGUUAUGAUAUGAUAAAACAUGAAUAGUACUUUACUCGUGGCUUAUUUUUUAAAGUUUUUUCAAAAAUUUUUUAAAUAAAACGAACGAUUAAAGUUGGACACGGAAACUCAUGGCUGCACUUAUU